rnacentral:rRNA from 1 species
GAGUUUGAUCGUGGCUCAGAGCGAACGCUGGCGGCAGGCCUAACACAUGCAAGUCGAACGGAUCCUUCGGGUAUUAGUGGCGGACGGGUGAGUAAACACGUGGGAACGUGCCCUCGUGGUUCGGAACAACUCGAGGGAAACUUGAGCGUAAUACCGGAUGUAGCCCUCGGGGGAAGAUUUAUCGCCAAUUGGAGCGGCCCGCGUCUGAUUUAGCUAGUUUGGUAGACGGUAAAGGCUCACCAAGGCGACGAUCCAGUAGCUGGUCUGAGAGGGUGAUCAGCCACAUUGGGACUGAGACACGGCCCAAACUCCUACGGGAGGCAGCAGUGGGAAUCGUUGCGCAAUGGGCGAAAGCCUGACGCAGCCAUGCCGCGUGAAUGAUG